rnacentral:rRNA from 1 species
AUCGGCAGCUAGAUCCUGCAACUCUCACAUGGUCGCACACUGAAGUUAAGCAGGGCUGUGCCCGAUCAGUACCUGGAUGGGAGACCACAUGGGAAAGCUUGGUUGCUGCCGGAA